CUGAAACACGCGAGAGAGAUACUUCUCCCUGUUCGGCGCACUCAGUAAUAUACUGACUGCUGCUGUGGAAACAUCUAACUUGCGUACUCUCGUGUUUUUCUCAGAGAGAGAAACUUCCGCUAAGGCUCUACCACGUGACUGUGUUUCACCAAUCAAACGUAGUUGUGCAGUCUCGUCACGUUACCAUACUCAAUCUCAGCGGUGGGACGCGUUAGUUAGCAACACAAACAUGUCAGAAUCAACCAUCGGCAAUGCAGACACAAACGAGGAGGAAAACCCGCACCCCUGGCCUCAUAUUGAAAGCAUGUUUACCUAUUAGUAAAAGUGCGAGAGAGCAGCUACAUUAUGAGGUGUCUUCUGUGUCUGCCAAAGCAAACGGACAUUUGAGCAUUCAAAAACUCAACAUCUAACUUGAGGAAACAUGUAGCGUUUAUUCUCUGAUCCACAGUGCACACUGCCUGUGUAUCAUCUGCUGCCGGCACAGAUAUCCCCUAGGUCUGAGGCUGGUAACAUAUGCCAGAGUUAUCUACUUCUGUUGUUUCUACAACAUGUAAUAUUCAAUACAAGCCUGUACAACCUGAGUCUGGUGAUUGUAAUGACGAUGUUCAACCAAAUGACAGUGUUUCGAAUACAAGCAAAAAAGGCUCCUCUGGAGUAAUGUCCCAUGGAUCACGAUCCAGCCACUCUUCUGUGUCAUCUACACGUCUUAAGACUGAAGCAAAAUUGGCUGCAUUAUUGACCGCUCAACAAAUGUUACAAAGGAAACAUACAUUGGAGGAGCAAGAAGAGAAACUGAGGAAAACUAGAGAAAAAACUGGAGUUGGAAACCAAACUGGUUGAGUCAAUGGCUAGAGUAAAGGUGUAUCAAAAUGCAAAACUGGGAUCAUAUACCUCUGCUAACAGAACUAAAUCCGGUUCUUAUCAUAUUGAUGUGGAAGCACUGAUUCCUUCAGAGACUGAGCCAGUUUUAUCACAACUCUGCUUAUGGAACAUCUCAAGCUCAUGCUGCACAAGGGAUUUCAACUCAUGCUCAAACUCAAGUACAACAACCAUCAACCAGACCAAAAAUACAACAUUCUCAAAUUCCAGCAUCUAGCAUGUCAUUACUGGACUAUCGGAAUAAUGGAAAUUGAACUGGUAAUGCAACAAGUCCUCUAAAUGACCUCAGUUACAUGAACAUCUUACAGCUUAUUGAUAAGCAAAAUGAAAUAACUACCUUAUUGGUUAAACAGAAUAACUUAUCUUCACUUCCACCUAGAGAAAUACCCUACUAUGAUGGAGAUCCAUUACGCUUUCAUGAAUUCCUAUACUCAUUUGAGGAAGUGGUGGAAAAAAGGGGAAGAUAGCCCAGGUGAUUGCUUACAUUUUUUGGAGCAGUAUACAAGAUGACAGCCCAAAGAAAUUGUUCAAAGUUGCCAACACAUGACUCCAUUACAAGGCUAUUUAAAGGCAAAAACUUUACUCAAGAAGAAUUUUGGAGAUGAGGUGAAAAUAGCUGCUUCUUACAUGAACAAAGCUCUUUCAUGGAAAGCUAUGAAAUUUAAAAAUGCAAAGGCUCUGCAAGAAUAUUCUCUUUUUUUAAGGAGUUGCAGCAACGCUAUGCAAAGUAUGAAUUACAUGAAUGAGUAACCUCACUUCCAACAUGCAGAUCAUUCUCUCAAAACUUCCAUACAAGUACAGAGAUGAAUGGAGAGUUGUGGCAUACAAGUUAAAGGAACGAAACAACAGUCAGACUACCUUUGUGGAUAUUGUCAAUUCUAUUGAGAAACAAGUGAAAAUCCUUUCAAAUCCUGUGUUUGGUAAUAUACAGGACACCCCUCCACAGGAACUAACAAAGUAAAUGCAAGAAUGAUUCAGUAAAAAUCCAGAAGUAGUUUUGCUUUUACUAUUUGUAAUCUUAUUCAUACAGAUCUUCUUCAUAUAUUCCCACGUGAAAGGUCAGAUACUCUGCAUAAGCAAUCUGAAUUCAAAACGGCCAUUGGUUUGAUGAUUUCCCUACAGUCCAAUGCUCAUACUGGGGCUGGUAAAGACAGCUGUGCAUUGUCUAUUAUUCCUGUGUGUGUCAAGUCAAAAAAAGGGAAAUAAUAUUGUGAAAAUGUAUGCAUUUCUGGAUUCAGGCAGCUCUGCUUCCUUUUGUACGGAAAGUUUAAUGAAUACGCUCAAUCUUCCUGGGGAAAAAGAGUGAAUAUUCUUCUCAGAACCAUAAGUCAAGACAAAUCAGUUAGCAGUUAUGUCCUGAAUAAUUUGGAAGUGUCUGGAUUGAAUCAGGAACAUUAUUGCUUAUUACCUGAAGUAUAUACUCAAGAUGCUAUGCCUGUAUCCACAGCUAAUAUAGCCUCACAGAAUGAUCUUCAGUCUUGGCCACAUUUGUGUCACCUCAACUUACCAGGAUGUUGAACUGUUGAUUGGAGCCAAUGUUCCACAGGCAUUAGAACCUUGGCAGAUCAGACGAAGUCAGAAUAAAGGUCCCUAUGCAAUAAAAACUAUGUUUGGCUGGGCGGUUAAUGGAAUACUUAAAGGAAAGGUUACAAAUGAGGAUGUUGUGGAUCGAUCUCCUGUAAUGGUGAAUAGGAUUUCGGUACUGGAGAAGAACUGUGUACUGGUUGGAAGAACUGUGGAAGCAACAGUUUAAAGCGGAUUUUCCUGAGACUGCUCAUGAUGAACAGAUUGGAUUAUCGAGGGAAGAUCAACAACUUAUGGAUUUUGUGUCCCGUUCAGCAAAACUCAUUGAUGGUCAUUCUCAUAUUGGACUGCCAUUUAGAAACACUGAUGUAAUUAUGCCAAUGAAUCGUAAAAUUGUGGAGCAGCGUGCUGUACAUCUGCAAAGAAGGUUCAAUGUGAAUCCUACGUUUGCAUGUUCUCCUCGUGCCUCGGGGGUUUCCUCCGGGUACUCCGGUUUCCUCCCCCGGUCCAAAGACAUGGAUGGUAGGUUGAUUGGCAUCUCUGGAAAAAUUGUCCGUAGUGUGUGAUUGCGUGAGUGAAUGAGAGAGUGUGUGUGUGCCCUGCGAUGUGUUGGCACACCGUACAGGGUGUAUCCUGCCUUGAUGCCCUGAUGACGCCUGAGAUCCCCGUGACUCGAGGUAGUUCGGAUAAGCGGUAGAAAAUGAAUGAACGUAACUGUUUUACUUGCACUUCCUCACCACCAGAGGGAGACAGAGCUAUAUCACUUUCGUGUCACAGUGUCACUUCUGGUGCUUGUGGACAUAUAAAUCCUGCUCACGCUAGUUUACAUCGUGAAGUAUUAUAUAUUGUCUAGUAUUUUACUGCUGUACUGAGCUGUUGUUUGUUCUUCUCGUGUUUAAUACAGUGUUCUGUUUUCCUGUUUUUUGCUCUUUGUGUUUAGUGAUUUCAGAUUUGUUCACCCCUCUGUUUGACUCUCUGUUUAUUUGGAUUAUUGUCUGUUUUCCAGUUUUGUC